UACGGAGGGGGCAAGCGUUACUCGGAAUUAUUGGGCGUAAAGGGCGCGUAGGCGGUCGUGCGCGUCGGAGGUGGAAAUCCCCGGGCUUAACCCGGGAGCUGCCUCCGAUACGGCAUGGCUUGAGUCCGGGGAGAGGGGAGCAGAAUUCCCAGUGUAGCGGUGAAAUGCGUAGAUAUUGGGAGGAAUACCGGUGGCGAAGGCGGCUCCCUGGACCGGUACUGACGCUGAGGCGCGAAAGCGUGGGUAGCAAACAGG
rnacentral:rRNA from 1 species